AUGCUGAACAUCGUCACCGUCCGUUGCGGGCACUGCACUAGCCUGCUGUCGGUAAACUUGAGGGGAUUAAUCCAGUCGCCACCUGUGCAAGAUCAUUCCCAGGAGAAUUUCAAGGCCCACAAUAUCAGCUUUCGUGGAAAUUACCCGGACUAUGGCACAUCUUCUAAAUACCGGAUGCCAAUGAUGUUCUCAACAAAAAGUGACCAAGAGCAUAUGCUCCACAUGAGACCAGCUCCAGAGAAGAGGCAGCGGGUUCCUUCAGCGUAUAACCGAUUUAUUAAGGAGGAGAUACGAAGGAUAAAAACAAACAAUCCUGACAUAAGCCACAGAGAAGCCUUCAGCACCGCAGCAAAGAAUUGGGCGCAUUUCCCAAACAUUCAUUUCGGGCUAGGCUCCAAUGAGAGCAGCAAGAAGCUGGACGAGGCCAUCGCGGCACCUACCCCCCAGAAAGUUCAAGAGAAGUUUAACAAGGUUUACAAGUCCGAAGGCCAAAAUAAAAGCUUUCAAUCAUGGCAUAAAAUUACGCAAGUGUUUUGCUCCGGCCAAUGCCCAAUUUCGCGCCUCGUUACAGAAUUUGGAUAUGAUGAUGUGAGGCGGUGUGGAAAUGUUGUGGAAGACUCUUGA
rnacentral:rRNA from 1 species